UGGGAGAUCCCUGCCUCGUGCAGCGCUGCGCAGUCAGGCUGACGGUACAGCGGGUUCUCCCAUGCUAUUAAGUGGCACAAAAUCCUGUAGAUGUCCCUCACGGACAGACCAGUGCUACUGAGGGUCUACUGAAGACUUCAAGUCUACAUAAGCCUCCUUACGAAAGGUAAACUUGUUUUCUAAUUUCUCAAAACUGGCCGCUUUGACAGCUCCAAAAGUUUAGCACUACUGAAAAGGCAAAAGAAGCAAAGCAAAGCUGUUAAGACACCUAGCAAGAUGCAUAUUCAUGACUAAGAGGAACAUAGAAAAGACAGGACAAUGAACCAAAAAAAGAUAAUAUUCACAACUACAAAAUUAUGAAACCGUAAACAAUUCCAUCAUGUAUAAAAUCUAAACAUUUCUAAUGUACUCAUCACUGUUAUACAGCUGCCUAUACCGGACAAUAACUAACUGCUGUAGUAUACUACAGUGAGAUAUAAAGUGAAAAAUCACAGGGUUUUAAUGCAAUUUAAAAUAUAUACAAUAAAAUGUUUCCCACACUCAGAAGUAUUUUAAAAGCAGAGAAUUUUGUGCCAGAAUACUAUUCUUUUGUAACCAGAACAAGUUACACUGUAUUAAUAAAAUUCCAGCUCCAUUAACAGCACAGUUUGCUUAACCAUUAUAAUACCAAUAGCCAAAAUUCUUUUAAGUAUUCAAUAGACAACUUACCUGAAUAUGUGGAUGCUAAGAUUUCAUCAUACCCAUCCUUUCCUACACAGCCACCCUGGAUAGAUGUGAUGCUCUCUGACAAGGCCUAAAAAAUAAAAACAGACGAGCACUCAGGAGAUACAUUACUUUAUUCAUUUUAUAUGAGCGCUGUUUAAAGAAAAGAAAAAAAAAACCACUUCCCCUUCUGUAAUUGUAGUGCAGAAAAAUCUAUUCAGAUGCACAACAGCUCAAAAGUAUAAGAAAUACUUAAUUACUUGUUAUUGUGUUUCAGCACAUAUAUUUUUGGUUCUGCUGUAUAUGUACCUUGAAAGACAUAUUAGGAACUGGUUUAUAAAGUAAAACCUUGAUGCACAGUCUAAUUUUCAAACAGUAAUUACCAGAAUGUGCUGGAAGGAAAGAAGAGUGACUAUGAAUUAAAUCCACUAUUUUAAACAAUUAGUAAUAAAUACAGCCAUACCAGAAAGUAUAAACUUUAAAGAGUCACUUGUUUAUUUAAGAGGGGAAAAAAAUCAAUACAUUUUAAAGUUUUGGGGGUGGUUUGUGUUUGGUUGAGUGUUGUUUUGUUUAGAUUGUUUUACUAACCUGAGUUAGUAACACCAUCUUAAGUUAUUAAAAAAAAAAAGAGAGAACUUUCAAAAUGUAUGUUUACCAUUUGUGCUGUUUAAUUUUAGCAUUUCAUUCAAAUUGACUGGCCUGUUUCAUUUUCUGGUUCUCACAUAUUAGCAUAUUCCUUUUGCGUUGGGGUUUCUACCAUUACAUGGAAGCAUAAAAUUUUAAAAUACAAAUAACAUUUUUUAAUUCUUAACAGUUUAGGUAAGCCCUUGGCCAUUUUUGUAAUUGCUAUUAUACAGUGUGCCUAAAAAUAAAAUGAAGUUCAGCACUGAACAAACCACCUUUUAAACACUCUUUGACAGCACAUAAGAAUAUAGCUAUACCAUGCAGACAGAACGGCUGCAGACCAUUUAAAUAAAUAAAUUUAUAUAAAAUGUUUAAUAAUGACUGAAGGGCAAGAAAGACAAUGCAAAUACAUAUCUAUGGCAUACCAUUGGUUUAGCUGUGUAACAAUAUCGUUAGAGCCCUACCAAAUUCACAGUCCAUUUUGGUCAAUUUCACGGCCACAGGGUUUUAAAAUUAGUCAAUGGCACGUUUUCAGAUGUUUACAUCUGAAAUUUCAGGGUGGUGUAACGGUUGGGGGCCUGACCCAAAAGGCGGUCAGGGUGGGAAAAGUCACAAGGCUAUUGUAGGGGGGCCAUGGGAGUGCUACCCUCAGCAGUCUCUCAAGUGGAGCCGUGGAGCUUCCUGCAGCCGGGGGCUGACAGCUGGAGCCACGGAGCUUCCUUCAGCUGGGGCAGAUCCCGGAGGUAUGUCUAACCCGCCCCAGGCGGGGCCCCCUUCAGUGGAAGAGGAAAUCUCAUCCCUCCCCAUCCCUGGCUGGGACUAGCAACUGGAGGCCUGCGGAAGGUAGGAGCCCCAGGGUGAGUGCCAGAUUUCACAGGGAGAUCAGAUUUCACAGUCUGUGAUGUGUUUUUGGUAGGCUGUGAAUUUGGCAGGACCCUAAAUAUAGUUACAAAUAAAAAUUAAGAAAUUAAACAAUUAUAAUUCAUUUCUUUUCUAAUUUAAAGCAAAUAAGUUUAAAAUAUGCCCUGUGAAGAGGGCAUUUCUUGUGAUGAGCUUACGUGAUCAUAUCGAAGGACAGGCUCAUUUGUGCUAUCGAAGUUAUAGAUUUCUAACAUACCAUCAUCUCGGCCAACAAGUAAUUCUUUAACUCCAUCACCCAGAAUGUCAAAGUUAUCAACACAUAAGAUACCUAUAAAUAAAUUAAAAAAAACCAUCUUAUGAACAACAAACUGACUGCUCAUUUCACCUUUUGUCUCUCAAUGAACUAUUUGCAAAGUAGCCCAUGAAAAAGGUAUUACAGUGCAUUAAUAGUCUUAAAAAAACCAAAUUGACAGCGCAUUCUUGCUAAGUUUGUAAGGUUUUAUUAACGCCAUUUUUGGCUUCUGAGUAAAAUGAGUGACUUCAUCACUUUGAUAUGAGAAACAAUGUACUGGACUAAGUAGGUAAAAAACAGAACUAUAUUCCAAUGCAAAGCACAGAAAUAAAGAGACUUAAUAGAAAUCAAUUGUAAAGAACCCAAAACCAAAUCUAAGAUUCAGGCCCCUUUAAAGCAUUUGAGUCACGCAAAAUCACAACUCAUAUUUGAAAAAUGACGUAAUACUAAGAAGUUUACUAAAAAUAUUUUUGAGUGACAAAAGAAUGAACAUAGCAGCAUGCUCUACAAGCACAUGUGAUAACUGGGUUCUAUUCAUGGUCCUUCCCUUUUCAGAGGAACACCACCUGAUAUUGCUGCAGAGGCAGCAUAAAAAUAAAAGGGAAUCAAUGUCCUGGAAAUCAAAGCAAUAAUUUUUGGCCAUUUAAAGAAUAGUGGAGCGUCAAAAAGAGCCUUGGCCAAUCCUCAGACUGAAAGCAGGUACAAAGUGACAAAAAACAGUAUUACACAGGGACAGUGAUAACCUGUGCUGGGGGAAGAAUUCAAAAUGCCACAGGUUUGGAAAAAUAUGAUUUUCAUAUUUGGACUUAUAAGUACAACCACCACAACAGCAGACAGUCAAAUUAUAUAUAUAAAAUAAUUUAAAGGAGUUUAUUUUUUAAAAGGUCACCUUAAAAUAGUAAACAAAAGCAUACUAAAUAAGAACUGGAAAUAACCUGCAUGAAGAAUAAGAAAAAAAAAAACCCAAGACAAAAACUUCUUCAGCAAGAGGUCAGGAGCAAGGAAACGGAGUACUCAAGUUACUGUAAUAUACAGGCAAAACUGUGAUUUAUCUUCAAAAUAUUUACUAUAACACAAAAAAUACCCAUAAGUAAUAAUGAAAUUUACUAGUAACUUUAUUUCAUACGGCCUGGUGUAUAAUGGAAUACCAAUGAUCUGGAAAGAUUACCAAGAUACAUACCUCCUCUCUUCUUCUCAUUUCUGACUUCCCACUUAUGUACCGGAGAUGCACUUGAAACCUGAAUGAGACCAACUUUCCCAUCAGAUGUUCCAAACAGAAGUUCUUCUCCAGAAUCACCUAAGCAUAUAGAAUGUAAUGUAUGAAUCACAAAAUAUUCAAAUUCAUGUUCUGCAACAGAGUUACCAGACUUUUUCAAAACACAGUGGAAGAAACAAGGCUAGAACUUCAGAAGAUGGACACUCAAACAUCUUGAAAACUAUGGGUAUUUUAAUAAUUUGUUCUUUCCUGUUCUUCUUACAUGUGUGCAUCUCUCACUCAACUCAAUAGCUGUUAAUGUAAAAGGAGCAGGACAUCAAUUAUAUAAAUACUGAAUACAUUAAAGUAAGGAUAUUUUCCCCAGCUUCUGAAAAAGACUAGCAAGAGAAGUACUUCCCUUCCAUUCCUCUUCCCCCACCCCCAUUAGAUGGUUUGUGGAGAGGUCUUCAAAAAGACAAAACUACCUCACUCAUUUACCUCGCUGGAUAAGGGCUACAGAAUCCAGCUUCUGCUAAGUGGGAUUUAAAAGGGAAACUUAUUCUCACUCCCAAACCAGCUGCUGCCAUCACAGUGCUACUUUCAAAUGGCCUGACUGAAAGAAAAUGGAUUAGGAGCCGGAUUAGAGCCAUUCAUUAAUUUUUUUGACCUAUAGUGCUAAAUUCAGGUGACAGAAGAUAGCAAAAGGGCUGGCUAAACAAUUUUAAACUUUAAGGUUGUGUCUACCCUACAGAGACUAUGUCAGCAUAGGUAUGCUGGCAUAACCCCAUAGUGUAGACACAGCCUACACCGCCAAAAGGGGUUUUUCACUAGUGUGGAACACCACCUCCCUGAACAACGUUAGCUACAUUGACAUAAGCACUCUUCUGUUGACAUAGCUGCAUCUACCCUUGGGGUUAGCCUGGCAUAACUAUGUUGGUCAGGGAUGUGAUUUUUAAAUUUAGGCCAAACCUAAAUUACAUCUCUCCUCCAUACGCUCGGAUCAUGACAGCUCUGCUCAACCUUCUCAUUCACCAAAUCACAGCUACUGAAGAUAAAUGUAAAGAAAUCCACGGCACAGUGAAAGAUCAAUGUCCAUGAAAAGAAUUCCUACAUCACACAAAAAAUAAAGGCAAAGGCCCUGUUUUUCAUUUACAGUAAUGUUACUUUUCAUAUCAGUGAUAGUUUAAAAGGACCUUAAAGGGAAUGUAAAUGCAAUUUGCACUCCCUUUUGUGGCCCCUUUACACUGCCAAAGUGGUGUAAAGAGUCUUAGAAUAAAAGAGAAUCAGGACCAGAGACAGAAAAAGGUGUGUGGGAGAAACUAUCAAGUCCUUCACCUCCUGAACAACCCCCAUGCCUAAAUCGCUGCUGGCCUCUCUCACCAUGUCCAGAUAGGAGGCUACGAUAGUCCCUGAAGUUCCACUUCGUGCCUUUUAGUGCUUGUGGAUGCUUAAAACACUGCAGUGGCACAGCUGCACCACCAUAUACUUCAAUGUAGACACUACCUAUGCUGACAGGAGGGCUUCUCCCAUGAGGAGAUGAAUUCCCUAUGCCUAGGAGAUGGUAACUAGGUUGACAGAAUAAUUCUUCUAUCAACCUAGUGCUAGUUUGCACCAGGGGUUAGGUCAGUAUAGCCGUCUCUCAUACCUGCGAAAGAUGUAGCUAAACUGAAGUAAAUUACUGGUUUAGGCCGGGCCUUAGCCUCUUACUCCUGCCUGAAGUGGACAAAGGCUGCAUUUAAUAACACAAGUGCUAGUUAUGUUUCUGUAUGAAAAAUGGAGCUUUGGACAUAUGACACUUUGAACAAAAAAGACUAACAGGAAUCUUGCUUUGUCUCUUAACCACAGCAAUUCUGUUUUUGGCAAUGAGCUAAUUAGAAAUGUUCUGACAUAAAAGUUUAUCAGUCAAAUUCUAUCAAAGCUACGAAAUGUUAUAUGUAAACUAUUAUAAGAAAAAACUGCAUGGUCAGAGCUGUGACCCUUUCUGCAUUUUUCACUUCUAGACAAUGUUAACCAAGGUUCUACAAUAUUUGUAAAUAAGACAUCCAGAUUUUGAUACUUUUAUUUAAAAUACAUUUCAGUGAAAUACUGAUAUAUUUAAGAUCUAGUUACCACCAUUUCCAUUGUUUAAAGCAAGAACAGUAGGCGGUCCAGAAACUUCCACUUCAUAUAGCAAAUCAGACCCCUACAGAUGAAGAAGAAAGAAAAGAGUUUUUAAAAUGAUCCAUUUAAAAAAAAAAUCACUUAAAAUUGCAUAAGUAUGUGUAUUCUGUGUUACACGUAUGGAUAAACUUGCUAUGUGUGUUGGUAAUCUUUCAAAACUACAGAACAGUGAAGUGUAUAAAUGGAGUACAAGACUGUUUUUUUAUUAAAAGAUGUUAAAUAAGAUGUUUAAAAUGUAUUUCUAGUGUUUUUAAACUCAGUUUUUGUGGCAAUAUAACCUGAAAAUUCAUGUACCAAUUCAGUUGCCAACUUUUACGUGGUAAAUAAGCACCCCAAACUUUCACAAUAAGCCAAAAAUCAAGCGAAUCCCAUUUCAAAACAAGGCCAAAACAAGCCAAUCCCUAAGAAUCCCCAAACUCUAUUCAACUAGAUCCCCCCAGCGUGCAGCCUGGGACUGUGGUGGGCCCGUUGUGCACCCCUGACUCUCUCCCCCACUUUCCUCCUGCUUGUCAGGAGCCAAU